GACGAACGCUGGCGGCGUGCUUAACACAUGCAAGUCGAACGGGCCUGUCUUCUUUUUUGGGGGUGGGUUGAGUGGCGAACGGGUGAGUAUCACGUGAGUAACCUGCCCUUCGGUCCUGGAUAACCGCUUGAAAGGGCGGCUAAUACGGGGUGGUCCGGUCGGUCCGCAUGGGCUGGUCGGGAUAGAUUCACUGUUUUUGGUGUUUCGGCGGGGGAUGGGCUCGCGGCCUAUCAGCUUGUUGGUGGGGUGAUGGCCUACCAAGGCGGUGACGGGUAGCCGGCCUGAGAGGGUGGGCGGCCACACUGGGACUGGGAUACGGCCCAGACUCCUGCGGGAGGCAGCAGUGGGGGGUAUUGCACAAUGGGCGGAAGCCUGAUGCAGCGACGUCGCGUGAGGGAUGGAGGCCUUCGGGUUGUGAACCUCUGUUUCCGGUGGUGAAGGCCCUGUCCGUGUGGUGGGGUUGACGGUAGCCGGGGAUGAAGCGCCGGCUAACUACGUG
rnacentral:rRNA from 1 species